rnacentral:misc_RNA from 1 species
UUUCCGUAGGUGAACCUGCGGAAGGAUCAUUAUUGAAUAAACCUGAUGUGGCUGUUAGCUGGCUUUUCGAAGCAUGUGCUCGUCCGUCAUCUUUAUCUCUCCACCUGUGCACAUUUUGUAGUCUUGGAUACCUCUCGAGGCAACUCGGAUUUUAGGGUCGCUGUGCUGUACAGGUCGGCUUUCCUUUCAUUUCCAAGACUAUGUUUUUAUAUACACCAAAGUAUGUUUAAAGAAUGUCAUCAAUAGGAACUUGUUUCCUAUAUAAUUAUACAACUUUCAGCAACGGAUCUCUUGGCUCUC